rnacentral:rRNA from 1 species
GGGACACGUGGUAUCCUGUCUGAAUAUGGGGGGACCAUCCUCCAAGGCUAAAUACUCCUGACUGACCGAUAGUGAACCAGUACCGUGAGGGAAAGGCGAAAAGAACCCCGGCGAGGGGAGUGAAAAAGAACCUGAAACCGUGUACGUACAAGCAGUGGGAGCACGCUUAGGCGUGUGACUGCGUACCUUUUGUAUAAUGGGUCAGCGACUUAUAUUCUGUAGCAAGGUUAACCGAAUAGGGGAGCCGAAGGGAAACCGAGUCUUAACUGGGCGUUAAGUUGCAGGGUAUAGACCCGAAACCCGGUGAUCUAGCCAUGGGCAGGUUGAAGGUUGGGUAACACUAACUGGAGGACCGAACCGACUAAUGUUGAAAAAUUAGCGGAUGACUUGUGGCUGGGGGUGAAAGGCCAAUCAAACCGGGAGAUAGCUGGUUCUCCCCGAAAGCUAUUUAGGUAGCGCCUCGUGAAUUCAUCUCCG